rnacentral:rRNA from 1 species
GACGAACGCUGGCGGCGUGCUUAACACAUGCAAGUCGAACGGAAAGGCCCUGCUUUGUGGGGUGCUCGAGUGGCGAACGGGUGAGUAACACGUGAGUAACCUGCCCUUGACUUUGGGAUAACUUCAGGAAACUGGGGCUAAUACCGGAUAGGAGCUCCUGCUGCAUGGUGGGGGUUGGAAAGUUUCGGCGGUUGGGGAUGGACUCGCGGCGCAUUAGCUAGUUGGUGAGGUAACGGCUCACCAAGGCGACGAUGCGUAGCCGACCUGAGAGGGUGACCGGCCACACUGGGACUGAGACACGGCCCAG